GACGAACGCUGGCGGCGUGCUUAACACAUGCAAGUCGCACGGGGGCUGGGGGCAACUCCAGCUCAGUGGCGGACGGGUGCGUAACACGUAAGCAACAUGUCCAAGGGUGGGGGAUAGCCGGCCCAACGGCCGGGUAAUACCGCAUGCAGUCACCGGCGGCAUCACAGGUGACGAAAGCCGGGGCAACCUGGCGCCCAUGGAGUGGCUUGCGGCCUAUCAGCUAGNGGUGGGUAAUGGCCCACCAAGGCUACGACGGGUAGCUGGUCUGAGAGGACGGCCAGCCACACUGGCACUGACACACGGGCCAGACUCCUACGGAGGCAGCAGUGGGGAAUUUUGGGCAAUGGGCGCAAGCCUGACCCAGCAACGCCGCGUGAGGGAGGAAAUCCUCGGGAUGUAAACCUCACAGCAAGGGAAGAGAGCUGUAGGCUGAAUAAUCCU
rnacentral:rRNA from 1 species